GGCCGAUUGGCCCAAUGGUAAGGCGUGAGACUCCUAUACGGAGAUAAAAAUUUACUGCCAAUCUCAAGAUUGCGGGUUCGAGUCCCGUGUCGGUCG
rnacentral:tRNA from 1 species